rnacentral:rRNA from 1 species
UUUCUGCUAUAACAGAAAGCUACUCCUGCCCUAUGAACAUAAAUAGCCGCAGUUCUCUGUGCUAAGGUAGCACAAUAACUUGCCUCUUAAUUUAAGGAUCGCAUGAAAGGACACAUGACUUUUUCCUUUUUUCAUAUACUUAAAAUAAACUUAACUAUUAAGUAAAAAGGCUUAUAUUUAAAAAGAAGGACGACAAGACCCUAUAGAACUUUACUCUAGUUAAACUGGGGUGGUUUAAAACAAAAUCUUAUGUACUAUAUCCUUAUAAAGACCUGAAACUUUCAAUAAAAAGAACAAGUUACCUUAGGGAUAACAGAGUAAUCUCUUUUUAGACACUUCCAAAAAGAAGCUUUCUACCUCGAUGUUGAAUUAAUAUUACUUCAUAAAUAAAUAUUAUUAAAGUGGGUCUGUUCGACCUUUAAAAUAUUACAUGAUUUGAGUUCAGACCGGUGUGAACCAGGUCAGAUUCUAUCCUCUUUACAUUCAUCACAGUACGAAAGGACCUGAUGAGAGAUAA